rnacentral:misc_RNA from 1 species
UGAUGACCUGGUCUGAGACCAUUAACUAGCUUCAUAUAGGUCUGCUGCUUCUUGGUGUUGUUUGUUGUAGGCUCAUGCCCUGACCUUGCUCCCACAAAUUGGAGACAAGAUUUGAUUAAACCUUUUAAGUAAGAAUCCAAACCAUUGUUCAACAGAUUGGCACAAUCCGUGGUCACCCCAUCAAGGCCCUGUUCUGCAGAAAUCUG